UGGGGAAUUUUGGACAAUGGGGGCAACCCUGAUCCAGCCAUGCCGCGUGUGUGAAGAAGGCCUUCGGGUUGUAAAGCACUUUCGGCCGGAACGAAAUCGCGCGAUCUAAUAAGUCGCGUGGAUGACGGUACCGGAAGAAGAAACACCGGCUAACUACGUGCCCGCAGCCGCGGUAAUACGGAGGGUGCGAGCGUUAAUCGGAAUUACUGGGCGUAAAGCGCACGCAGGUGGCUGAGUCAGUCGAUUGUGAAAGCCCUGGGCUUAACCUGGGAAUUGCAGUCGAUACUACUCAGCUAGAGUAUGGGAGAGGGUAGUGGAAUUCCCGGUGUAGCGGUGAAAUGCGUAGAUAUCGGGAGGAACAUCAGUGGCGAAGGCGGCUACCUGGCCCAAUACUGACACUCAGGUGCGACAGCGUGGGGAGCAAA
rnacentral:rRNA from 1 species